GGUAUAUAUGAUGCCCCCCAUAGGGGGCUUCACAGCGAUCCUCGCACGAGAGCCAUCGGAUCUUCCUUGCGACGAAUCUCGGCCGUCCGUUUUUCUUCACUGAGACAUAUAAAACGGACACAGCCACGGUGAGAAACCCUAGCCGCCGCCCGUCUCUCCCCAAUCCCGCGUCUCUCAUCCUUCCCCAAUCCCGUCGCUCUCCUCCUCCCCCAAUCCCAUCGUGGUUAACCCGCCGUCUCCCCAUCUUCCGGAUGAACUCGUCGCGUCGCCAUCGUCGGGAUGAAGGGCAGGCCGCCGCUCAUGCCCCCAGCCAUCUCGCCGGGAUGAAGGGCAGGCCACCGCUCAUGCCCCCAGCCAUCUCGCCGCUCGCAGUGCCGACGCGUCGUGCCGUCGCAGGGAGGAGCGUGGUUCGUGGCCGGCAGAUGCAGAGCAGUCCGCAGCUCGCACUGCCGCCGCGCCAUGCUUCGUCAUCGUCGGAAGGUCGCGAGGAGGCGAGGUCUGGAGGAAGCGCUCGAGCGGCGGCCGUCUGGGCUGUGCCCCUCCACCCUAUUUUUUGGGGCAGAAGGAGGGCUUCCAUGGUGCCGGUUUGAGAUCCCCCUUCUCUCUCUGCCUCUGGCUGAACAUUGACGUUUUCUUCCUUUUUCCCCCGGUUGCAUCCAGAUGUUGGCUGAUUCGUUGCUGCUAGUGAGAGAGAUGGGAAGUGGAAGAACAAAAGUUGAAGGAGAUGGAACAGGACACACCGAAUAACCACAUAUCUGCUCCAACAAAGGAGUGAACUACACUCACUCGGCAAUAAUCAGGAGUAGAUGAGGCGACAUGAAGAUUGCACGAGGAUGCGAGCUCGACAACAGGGCGAAAGGAUGAUGGCAUGAGGAUGCGGGUACAUUUUUAAAGUGCAUACUGCAGGUGUGCAAGAUGGUGGCUGACGAAUAUUCUUGAGUUCAACAAAAUGAAGUUUACUUAUCAGUUUGGUUUCAAUCUCAGUUCACCUUUGAUCAUUUUCUGAAGCAAAGUAAAACAGGGAAGUGCUCGAUGUUAUGUGCAUUCUCGCUGACUGUCUGUCGACGCAACGGGAGGGGUCGGUGUCAUGUACACUAAUUGAGUGGCGUGGAGGAGCUCCACCGUGAAGGAAACAGCUGGUUGGCAAUGGCUAAUUGUUGCAGCAGUGGUGUCAUUUAGAUUCGGGUUCAUGAAGAGCAUCUGAUGGACAUGCCAAUAGCUCUGGAAAUGGAUCAUUGAUCUCAUCUGUAAGAGGUAUCGCUGGUGGAGGAGCUGGAGAAGGCGCAGGGGCUCCGCGAGGCAGCUGACGGAUCGGGUCCUGGAUGAGCGUGAGGAGGCACUGCAAUGGGAAGUGAGGGAGUUGGAGCUGAGGGACGACAAGCAGAGGAGGCUGGUGGCAGAGCUCAUGCAUCUCAUUGGAUGCCCUAGUCUUGACCAUGUUUCGUCUGAGGAGACGAUUCUUUUCAGUCUAGGGUCGCUUCAUGCUUUUGCUUGCUGGUCACCUGGUUUGUCUGAUUGCAGUACAUGAAAACAACCAUUAAUUGGCGAAGCAGCGAGGUGAAGUUGCGCGCUGACCAACAUGUUAACCUCUUCGUGCCAGGGACAUGCACAAGUUUUGCAGGCUGAUGUAUUAUAUUUGCAGGAGGAAGAUGAAGAUAGUCAAGGACCUAUCUACUGUGAUAUUAAGGAAGUCAACAGUGAGCAAGUUCCCCAAAAAAAUACAUUGUCGUUGAGAAGGUCGAUGCAGAUCGGUAAUGAGAUCCAGGCUGCUCGAUUUCCUUCACGGACAUGGACGAGCUCCCCCUGGUAAUAUCAGUUGGAGAAGAAGAGAUAGGAGGCAUGUCUAUGGGUGAAUUCAGAAGUACAUGUAUCUGUUAAGAGUUGCAAGACUAUGGCCUGGGGUGUAGUUUCAUUUUCAUGUGAACAAUCUUCUCUAUCCCAUCGCCAUCUCCAGUAGGAGUGCCAGACAGGUUGUCCUCCUGUUCACAAGGCUGUGUGUGCGCUUGAUCCGAGUUCGCUGUCAUGAUUCAUCAUGUACACCUGUACUAAAAAGGCCUGUACUCAAAGCCUUGUGAAAAACAGUCAACAGAAGGUAUGCACUCUGCUCAAUCUUUCAUGUCGGAUCCUAUUUUACAUCCUACAAUUUUUAUUUUUUUCUUCCUAUCUAUAGAUGUUUGCUAUUGUGUUCUUUAAAUAUGCAAGAUUAACAUUCGUUUUCAUCAUCGACCGGAGGAAAAGAGCAGCUUAACGAUCGAGUACCUAGAAACAACAUCAGUGAAGCCACCCAUUUUAGGCGAUGACAUCUAACCCUUUAUGUAAUUAUGUUAGAUAAUUCCUCAAUUUACCUGACCAUGUAUAAAACCUUUGUUCUGAGCAAUGUUGGUUAAUUCUUGCAUGUGUGGUUACUCCACCUCUUCUUAUGAUUGUAAUUUUUCUUGCAUUUUGUUUCUA